UUAUCAAAAACAUCGCUCUUUGUAAAAUUUAUAGAUAAAGAGUCGUGCCUGCCCAGUGAAUUUUUUUAACGGCCGCAGUACCCUGACUGUGCUAAGGUAGCAUAAUCACUUGUUUUUUAAUUGAAAGCUUGUAUGAAUGGCUUGACGUAGGUAAAGCUGUCUCUUUUAUAUUAAAUAAAAAUUAAUUUUUAAGUGCAGAAGCUUAAAUACAACCAAAAGACGAAAAGACCCUAUCGAGCUUGAAAAUUAUAAUUAAAUUAAAUUUAUAGUAAAAUAAUUUUUAAUUAAUUUUUUUUGUUGGGGCGACAAAAGAACAAAUAAAGCUUCUUUUUAUUUUUUAAAUUUAUAAAUUUUUAGAUCCAUAAUUUAUGAUUAAAAGAAAAAGCUACCGUAGGGAUAACAGCGUUAUUUUUUCAAAGAGUUCUUAUCGAAGAAAAAGUUUGCGACCUCGAUGUUGGAUUAAAGUAACUUUUAAGUGCAGAAGCUUAAAAAGUGGGUCUGUUCGACCCUUAAACCUUU
rnacentral:rRNA from 1 species